GAAGGCAGACCCGGGGAACUGAAACAUCUAAGUACCCGGAGGAAAGGAAAUCAAUUGAUACUCCCCUAGUAGCGGCGAGCGAACGGGGAGGAGCCGACUGAUUAUAAUUUAGAGGAAUGACUUGGAAAGGUCAAUCGUAGAGGGUGAUAAUCCCGUACUCGAAAGGUUAUAAGAAGCAUAUUAAGUAGGGCGGAACACGAGAAAUUCUGUCUGAAGAUGGGGGGACCAUCCUCCAAGGCUAAAUACUCGUGAUCGACCGAUAGUGAACCAGUACCGUGAGGGAAAGGU
rnacentral:rRNA from 1 species